CCUUCAUCUUGAAGCGAAGCUCAGUAAGACAUCGGAUGUGAAAAGGAACGUGAAACAAAGAAUAUAUAUUUUGGGGAGGGGCAGUUUUCAAGACAGGGUUUCCCUGGGUUACCCUGGCUGACCUGGAACUGCCUCUGUAGCCCAGGCUGGCUUCAAACUGAGAGAUCUGCCUGCCUCUGCUUCCCGAGUGCUGGGAUCAAAGGUGUGUGCCACUAUGUCUAGCUAAACAUUUUAAGACAAUAUGUUUAUAGAGAGGUGGGUUAGGAGGCACUAAAGCAGAGGUUCCCAAGCUGUGUGUCGUGACUUCCUUGGGGAUCGUCAAAUGACCCUUUCACUGGUUAUAUAAGUCCAUUGGAACACACAGAUAUUUACAUUACAAUUCAUAACAGUAGCAAAAUUACAGUUAUGAAGUAUCAGCAAAAAUAAGUUUAUGAUUGGGUGGGGGGGUCACUACAACAUGAGGAAUUAUAUCAAAGUGUUUUGGCAUUAGGAAAGUUGAGAACCACUGCAAAAGAAGGUGAACCAUUUUAACCUUCAGGGAAGCUCGUUAAGCUCAGGAAGUAGACAAUUCAAAAUAUCUUCAGGAAGUUCCUGAAACUGACCAGAUUCACUCGGCUCUCCCUUCCCCAGGCAUACAUAAACUAUAAGAACUGCUAAGAGACUCCCAGAUGAGACAAGCUAUUAAGAAGACUCUACACCAAGCUGAGCCAUCUGGAAGAACCAGAGAUGAACUGAUCUGCCUGCGAGAGGCUCAGACCAUCCUACUGAACUACCUGGAAAGGACACUGUCUGGUCUCAUGCAGGCUAUGUGCUGUGCUCCAGGUUUUCAGCUUCCAUGAGCUAUCACUCAUGCUGGUGCAACACUUCCUUGAUGCUGCUGUGUUUGCAUCACAGCUGCUCUGCGAGAUGUGGUUUGUAUCAACACUUCCCAGGAGAUCUGCCCCACCACUCUGCCCCAGGAGCUUAAGCUGGGGUAUGGUUUUAAUUUACUCAGUGUAUUUCCAGGACAGAAGACUCACAGAAACACGGUGCCAAACAGAAAGUUCCAUGGCUGUACAAAUGCUUAUGUGUUGCUGCGUUUCUCUCUUCCCUCCUUUCAGCCAUUCUUCCUUCCCAAAAUAAAGCCUAGACACAUUUUC